ensembl:ncRNA asRNA:CR44287 antisense RNA:CR44287
AUAACAUAGUUUUAGAGGAUUUCUUCGAAUGUACUUACAACUGCUCAACGAGUUGGCUUAACUCCUUCGCUCCAAACUCAUCGCAUCGACUUAUAUGCUGCUCCAGCCACAUCAUGGCAUUCGCAAUCGGUGGAAAGUUGUUGGCCAAAGGUAAAGCGGCCAAGCCACGUAUUUCGUAGCCCAGCAGGACCUCCCCCACACUAUCCUCCAGCUGCUCCAUUUCAGUGUCGUAGAUAAAGAGGAUAUGCGGCAGGACUCGGGCCAAUUCCGGUCUCACAGCUUCGCGUUGCAGCAGGGAGCCAAACAUCAAAGUCAGCCGGAGCAAGUGCAUCCAGCUGUGACAUUGUUCAAAGGCCUGCAGCAAAACUGUGGCCAGCUUCUGCUCCAGCAGCUGCAUUCGGCUGAAGAACAGGGUUUGCUCCCGUCGAAAGCAUUUCCAUUUGCUGGCCACCGUGGCGGUGAGAUCGAUGUCCACGUUGCUCCACUGCUCAAAGAGCACUUUAAACUCGCCGAAAAUCUAGGGUAGAAAAAUCGCACAUUAAACUUACACCCAAGCUCUGUGCUCACCUCUCUGACGCGUUCAGUCAGUAUUUUGCCCCGCAAUCCGCCCACUUCCAGCUUCUCCAGCUGCUGGAACUGCACCGCUGCCUCGAAAACCUGGCGCAGCUCCAACAGUUGGAGCGAAAAGCCGUCGAGUGUUUGGCCAAACACAUCCUCGUGGCAGAAGCGCCACAGCUGCUGCUGGUCAUCUGGCGAUGGAGAUGAAGCCACCGCAGCUGCUCCUUCGGAAAGAGCGGGCAGAAGGACCUGGCUGCCGGCAUAGCGUUCCUUGUAGUCCAACAUUCGUUGCCUGCGGAAGAUUAGUUGUACUAUAACUGUACUAUUACAUAUUUAUAACUAACUGCAACUAACUUUAAUG